rnacentral:snoRNA from 10 species
AAGACUAUACUUUCAGAGAUCAUUUCUAUAGUUCGUAAACUACUCUUUAUUAAAAAUAGGCCAUUUUAAGAACUUUGUAUUAACAUAUCUUGAGUAGCAAG